CAACAGUCCCCGUAUCAUAUAGACUGAUACAUAAUACAGAUAAAACGCUUCGAUAAAAUAUAGUUCAUGUUGACAAGUACGCUUAAGAUGUAAUAUAAAAUGGCGACAUAAAGGAUGUUUGUCUGAAGGUAUAGAUCCCUGCGAAUUGUCGACUGACCGGUGUACCAAACAGCGUUGUAGAAGGCAUUUGGGCUGUACCGUUAAACCACUUGGCUGUACAUGUGGGAUUGCAGGCUGGGACAUUACAUGUUAUGGAGGUUGUGCUGCCCUCUGUGACUGUGAACGGGCUACCAACUGAUAUGGAGGCUGCCGAUGGACCAUCUGCGAGAAAACAUUUGCAAAGUGGUUCACUAACUAAUCAAUAUAUUAAAUUUGAAUAGGAUGCUUUAGCAUGAUAUGUCAAAUCAGAAAGCAACGGCCUGUUUUAUGUUUUUGGAUACAUAUAUAAAAUCUCUUGCUUACAAUGAGUGCGCACCUAACUGUUUUAUUCUUUAUAGCAUCAGAAUUUGAAUUUAAAGCUCAAACUAAAAACUUGCGCAAGACUUUGUUCCUUAAGUGUUUAGGUAUACAUCCAAUCGUAAACAUCUAUUUAUAAACAUAGUAUUUCUGGUUUAUUUUGGUAACAAUAUUACUGAAAUACGUAGUUUUAUUUCGAACUCACAAUAUGGUUUCUUAAAAAGGAAUACUAUUAGGCAAAAACAUCAUGAUAUAAACGAAGACCUGGUUCUUCAAAUUCGUUAUUAUUUUCCUUCAAAAUUAAUUUCUUUAGAAAUGAACGAAAUGUUAUUUGGAUAAUACAUAUUAUACUUGUUCGAAAAGUCAAAACGUAUUUUUUCUAGGCACGGUUUAAUACGAAUUCCACAAUUGAGUAUGAGAAUACCAUUUUUACCCAAAAAUAUCUAUAUAAUAUUCAAUUAGUAACUUUUUCAAACGAACAAACCUAUACCGUGUUUCGAGAUAAUAUCUAUCGAUUAAACAAUUUGUAAAACUA